rnacentral:lncRNA from 9 species
UGAAAUAUAUCUAUGUCAAGUAAUAUGAAGAAUUGAUAUCUAAAACUAAGGUGCUGUUACUGUCUUUGCAGUAUCUGUAACUAAAUAUCCAUCAAUAGAGCCUAUGAAAAACAAAAUAAGUUCAGACAAUAACCCAAUAGUUUUGGGAGAAAUCACAGGUAGUACUAAUUAUAUAGAUUUAUGCUAAAUAUGGGCCAGACACUGCUUAAUGUAUUUAUAUCUGUAAAUUCAUUUAAUCUUCAAAACCAACCCCUCAAAUAAAUAAAAUAAAUGAUUAUCAUUGUAUUUGUUCCUUGAAAACAAAUUUCAUAUUUUGACAUAGUUUCAACUUUUCUUCCUUGUAGAAAACCCUUUCCAGUAUAUGGAGCAGCUGUAUGUGUAACAAGAUUGGGAUGAGAGGGAGAGAAGAAAGAAAAUUUUACAGGCAACACAACGAUGACCUGGAAGAAGGCUAUACCCCUGAACUUUCUGAAAAAUAUCACGUAACAUCUGACUACACAGAGAGGUAAUGAGGUCUCAGGUAUACAGUACUCACAAGAGAAGUGUGUUUGAAUGCUGCAUGGACCAUGAGAUAAUUGAUGUGUGCUGAUUCAUGCCAUCUGCUGCCAUUCAAAAGCAAAGCUGGACACAAGAACAUCCUGGCUGUCCACAGUGGACAGAGGAAAGGGGGCUUUGAGUUCCAGACCUCACCCACCUCAACACACCGCCCCACAUACUGA